CCCGGAGGGGGGCUAAGUGCAAUUUAGGGAGUAUCNUACUGGUGGGCGAACGGGGGAAUAUAGCGCCGUUAAGGGCCUUUUGGUUUGGAAUACACGGGGAAACUUGCCUUAAGACCGAAUAACCCCUUACGGGGAAAGUUUUAUCGCCAAAGGAAGAGCCCGCCCUUGAUUAGCUAGUUGGGAGGGUAAAAGCUUACCAGGGCAACGAUCAAUAGCUGUUCUAAAAGGAGAACAACCCCCAUUGGGACUGAGAAACGGCCCAAAUUCCUACGGGGGGGACCAUGGGGGAAUCUUGUCCAAGGGGGGAAACCCUGAUGCGCCGAUCCCCCGGGGGUGAAAAAAGCCCCUGGGUUGUAAAACCCUUUCCCCCGGGAAAAAAAAGAGGGUUCCCCAAUAAAAAAGGCCGGGUAAAUUCUUGGCCGCCCCCGCGGUUAUACAAAAGGACCUAGCGGAUAUCAGAAAUUCUGGGCUUAGAAAGCUCGCAUGUGGGGAUAAAAAAGUUGGGGGAGAAACCCGAGGGCUAACUUGUGAAAGCGAGAUAAAAUUUUUUGAUCUAGAGUGAGAUAGAGAAAAGGAGUUUCUCGUGUAGGAGAGGAAAUACUCGUAUAUUAGAGAAAAAACCCCAUGUGAAAGGGCUUUUUUGUGGCACUACACAGACACUUGAGAAAAAACAUGUGGGGUAACGAGAAUGAUAUAUCCCCCUGGUACCUGCGGUCAAAAAAGAGGGGGACAAGGCGGGAGAAAAUUUUUUUAUCGGUGCCCGCCCAAAAUUAAUUACCCCC
rnacentral:rRNA from 1 species